rnacentral:rRNA from 1 species
UAGGGAAUCUUCCGCAAUGGGCGAAAGCCUGACGGAGCAACGCCGCGUGAGUGAUGAAGGUCUUCGGAUCGUAAAACUCUGUUAUUAGGGAAGAACAUAUGUGUAAGUAACUGUGCACAUCUUGACGGUACCUAAUCAGAAAGCUACGGCUAACUACGUGCCAGCAGCCGCGGCAAUACGUAGGUGGCAAGCGUUAUCCGGAAUUAUUGGGCGUAAAGCGCGCGUAGGCGGUUUUUUAAGUCUGAUGUGAAAGCCCACGGCUCAACCGUGGAGGGUCAUUGGAAACUGGAAAACUUGAGUGCAGAAGAGGAAAGUGGAAUUCCAUGUGUAGCGGUGAAAUGCGCAGAGAUAUGGAGGAGCACCAGUGGCGAAGGCGACUUUCUGGUCUGUAACUGACGCUGAUGUGCGAAAGCGUGGGGAUCAAACAGGAUUAGAUACCCUGGUAGUCCACGCCGUAAACGAUGAGUGCUAAGUGUUAGGGGGUUUCCGCCCCUUAGUGCUGCAGCUAACGCAUUAAGCACUCCGCCUGGGGAGUACGACCGCAAGGUUG